rnacentral:rRNA from 1 species
CUAACACAUGCAAGUCGAGCGGAAACGAGUUAUCUGAACCUUCGGGGAACGAUAACGGCGUCGAGCGGCGGACGGGUGAGUAAUGCCUAGGAAAUUGCCCUGAUGUGGGGGAUAACCAUUGGAAACGAUGGCUAAUACCGCAUGAUGCCUACGGGCCAAAGAGGGGGACCUUCGGGCCUCUCGCGUCAGGAUAUGCCUAGGUGGGAUUAGCUAGUUGGUGAGGUAAGGGCUCACCAAGGCGACGAUCCCUAGCUGGUCUGAGAGGAUGAUCAGCCACACUGGAACUGAGACACGGUCCAGACUCCUACGGGAGGCAGCAGUGGGGAAUAUUGCACAAUGGGCGCAAGCCUGAUGCAGCCAUGCCGCGUGUGUGAAGAAGGCCUUCGGGUUGUAAAGCACUUUCAGUCGUGAGGAAGGUAGUGUAGUUAAUAGCUGCAUUAUUUGACGUUAGCGACAGAAGAAGCACCGGCUAACUCCGUGCCAGCAGCCGCGGUAAUACGGAGGGUGCGAGCGUUAAUCGGAAUUACUGGGCGUAAAGCGCAUGCAGGUGGUUUGUUAAGUCAGAUGUGAAAGCCCGGGGCUCAACCUCGGAAUUGCAUUUGAAACUGGCAGACUAGAGUACUGUAGAGGGGGGUAGAAUUUCAGGUGUAGCGGUGAAAUGCGUAGAGAUCUGAAGGAAUACCGGUGGCGAAGGCGGCCCCCUGGACAGAUACUGACACUCAGAUGCGAAAGCGUGGGGAGCAAACAGGAUUAGAUACCCUGGUAGUCCACGCCGUAAACGAUGUCUACUUGGAGGUUGUGGCCUUGAGCCGUGGCUUUCGGAGCUAACGCGUUAAGUAGACCGCCUGGGGAGUACGGUCGCAAGAUUAAAACUCAAAUGAAUUGACGGGGGCCCGCACAAGCGGUGGAGCAUGUGGUUUAAUUCGAUGCAACGCGAAGAACCUUACCUACUCUUGACAUCCAGAGAACUUUCCAGAGAUGGAUUGGUGCCUUCGGGAACUCUGAGACAGGUGCUGCAUGGCUGUCGUCAGCUCGUGUUGUGAAAUGUUGGGUUAAGUCCCGCAACGAGCGCAACCCUUAUCCUUGUUUGCCAGCGAGUAAUGUCGGGAACUCCAGGGAGACUGCCGGUGAUAAACCGGAGGAAGGUGGGGACGACGUCAAGUCAUCAUGGCCCUUACGAGUAGGGCUACACACGUGCUACAAUGGCGCAUACAGAGGGCGGCCAACUUGCGAAAGUGAGCGAAUCCCAAAAAGUGCGUCGUAGUCCGGAUUGGAGUCUGCAACUCGACUCCAUGAAGUCGGAAUCGCUAGUAAUCGUGGAUCAGAAUGCCACGGUGAAUACGUUCCCGGGCCUUGUACACACCGCCCGUCACACCAUGGGAGUGGGCUGCAAAAGAAGUAGGUAGUUUAACCUUCGGGGGGACGCUUACCACUU